UUCCAGUCCAGACGGACAAGACACAGUCUGACACAGACCAGGCCAGGGCAAAGGAGCCUGCACAGGUCUUUGUUUUCUGGGCCCAAGGGCAUCUUCUUGAGUGUACCCUGGGCCUGGAGAAAACUUUUGAUCUCCCAGAGAAGACCUGGAGGAGAAGCCCCCAAGGCAGCAAGCCCCGUGCCCACUGCUGAGGACAGCGAAGGAGGUGAUCCAGGCCUGGCCAAUCAGAGUGCCCCAUCCUGAGGCUGUGGUUGGUUCAGAGAUGGGCAUGGGACCCCCGUGGCCAGAAGCUUUUCUCCUGGAGGGGCAUUGGAACCCUCACUGCCACGUUCUUUCUUGGGCUUUUGAGCCAUAAAUCCCUUAUUGACCUUAGCUGGUUUGCCUUUUCACUGCUCUGCAGUUGGGAAGAGCCCUGAGCAGAUCAGAAGUAAUAAAGUACUUCCUGUGCGGCA